GAUGAACGCUGGCGGCGUGCCUAAUACAUGCAAGUCGAGCGAACAGACGAGGAGCUUGCUCCUCUGACGUUAGUGGCGGACGGGUGAGUAACGCGUGGAUAACCUACCUAUAAGCCUGGGAUCACUUCGGGAAACCGGAGCUAAUACCGGAUAAUAUAUUGCACCGCAUGGUUCAUUAGUGAAAGUCGGCUUUGCUGUCACUUCUAGAUGGUUACGCGCCGCUUGAGCUAGUUGGUAAGGUAACGGCUUACCAAGGGAACGAUGCGUGGCCGACUUAAGAGGGUGAUCGCCCACACGGGAACGGGAACAGGGUCCAGACUCCUACGGGAGGCAGCAGUAGGGAACCUUCGGCAAUGGGGGAAAGCCUGACGGAGCAGCGCCGCGUGAGUGAUGAAGGUCUUCGGUUCGUAAAGCUGGGUUAUUGGGGAAAAACAAAUGUGGAAUGAACUGUGCACGUCGUGACGGUACCUAAUCAGAAAGCCACGGCUAACUACGUG
rnacentral:rRNA from 1 species